GUCGAAGGUCAGAAACACAUGAACGCGUAAAUUAAUCUACAAGAACAGCCUGCGGCUAGCUGACUGGCUAACCUGCUCUGACGGUCUGCUGUACAUGGAAAGAUCUUUCUUACUUUUCUCCUCCGGCUCUGCUCAAGUUUACAGAUGGAGAGACGUAAACACACUUACCUGGCGUCCUGGAAACGGUUUAAAACUCUCCAACCCACGCACCGCU